rnacentral:rRNA from 1 species
UCGGGAAUAUUGCGCAAUGGAGGAAACUCUGACGCAGUGACGCCGCGUGCAGGAAGAAGGUUUUCGGAUUGUAAACUGCUUUAGACAGGGAAGAAAAAAUGACAGUACCUGUAGAAUAAGCUCCGGCUAACUACGUGCCAGCAGCCGCGGUAAUACGUAGGGAGCAAGCGUUAUCCGGAUUUAUUGGGUGUAAAGGGUGCGUAGACGGGAAGACAAGUUAGUUGUGAAAUCCCUCGGCUUAACUGAGGAACUGCAACUAAAACUAUCAUUCUUGAGUGCUGGAGAGGAAAGUGGAAUUCCUAGUGUAGCGGUGAAAUGCGUAGAUAUUAGGAGGAACACCAGUGGCGAAGGCGACUUACUGGACUGUAACUGACGUUGAGGCACGAAAGUGUGGGGAGCAAACAGGAUUAGAUACC